rnacentral:rRNA from 1 species
CUUCACCUACGGGGCGCAGCAGUGGGGAAUAUUGCACAAUGGGGGAAACCCUGAUGCAGCGACGCCGCGUGAGCGAAGAAGGAUUUCGGUAUGUAAAGCUCUAUCAGCAGGGAAGAAAAUGACGGUAACUGACUAAGAAGCCCCGGCUAAAUACGUGCCAGCAGUCGCGGUAAUACGUAUGGGGCAAGCGUUAUCCGGAUUUACUGGGGGUAAAGGGAGCGCAGGCGGCUUGGCAAGUCUGAUGUGAAAGGCUGGGGCUCAACCACAGGACUGCAUUGGAAACUGUUAGGCUGGAG